CCGGUCUUGCGAUCCGUCGAGGCAGCAAUGCUUAGGAAAGUCCGGACAGGAAAGGGCAUCACGCUGUGGAAAGCACAGGUGGAGGUAACUUUACGCCGCUGUAACAGAAAACAACCGCCGGGCAAGCCCGCAAGGGCGUUCGAGCGCGGCAAGGGUGAAAACGUGAGGCAAGAGCUCACGACGUGCUGCAGCGAUGCAGUGCGGGUACGGCACCGGGACCUGCAAAACCAAAUAUACUGGCAGAUGAGGGCUGCCCGCCCGAUGCCAGGGGGUAGGUCGCGAAGAUAAAUGACGGAUUCAAAAACAGAAACCGGCUUACGGCAGGACCACAAAU
rnacentral:RNase_P_RNA from 1 species